UACGGGGGGGGCAAGCGUUGUUCGGAAUUACUGGGCGUAAAGGGUUUGUAGGUGGCUUGUUAAGUCAGACGUGAAAUCCCUCAGCUUAACUGGGGAACUGCGUCUGAUACUGGCGAGCUUGAGUGCAGGAGAGGAACGCGGAAUUCCAGGUGUAGCGGUGAAAUGCGUAGAUAUCAGGAAGAACAUCGGUGGCGAAGGCGCUCUGCUGGACCAUAACUGACACUCAGGGACGAAAGCUAGGGGAGCGAAUGGG
rnacentral:rRNA from 1 species